UACGUAGGGUCCAAGCGUUAUCCGGAAUCACUGGGCGUAAAGCGUGCGUAGGUGGCGCGUUAAGUGAGAUGUUAAAACGUGGGGCUCAACCCUGUCGGUGCAUCUCAUACUGGCGUGCUAGAGGACAGCAGAGGCAAGUGGAAUUUGUAGUGUAGCAGUGAAAUGCGUAGAUAUUACAAGGAACACCAAUGGCGAAGGCAGCUUGCUGGGCUACUCCUGACACUGAGGUACGAAAGCGUGGGGAGCGAACAGG
rnacentral:rRNA from 1 species